rnacentral:rRNA from 1 species
UACACAGGCAAGGAGGCAUACUGGUGCCUAAGGGGUACGCAGAAUUGGGUCCUCAAGGGAGACGCCAAUACCGUCUAUUUCCAGGCCAUCACCAAUGGCCGACAGCGCCGUAACUCCACCCCGCUUCUAUGGGACAAAGAGACCCUGCUACAGCAGCCGGAGGCUAUUCGGGCACAUGUAGAUGGCUUUUACAGAGACCUAUUCUCUGCCUCCCCUCGAGGAGGGCUUGCCCUUGCUCAUGAUAUAUGGCCACCUCACUGUUGUGUCUCGGUUGUGGAUAACAUGGCUCUAACGGCCCCGUUCUCUGAGGCAGAAGUGUAG